rnacentral:rRNA from 1 species
UGGCGGCGCGCUUAACACAUGCAAGUCGCACGAGAAAGGGGGCAACCCUGAGUACAGUGGCGUACGGGUGAGUAACACGUGGAUUAUCUACCUUUUAGUGGGGAAUACCUCUGGGAAACCGGAGACAAUACCGCAUAAGCUCGAAAGAGGAAAGCAGCAAUGCGCUGAAAGAGGAGUCCGCGGCUGAUUAGCUAGUUGGCGGGGUAACGGCCCACCAAGGCGAAGAUCGGUAGCCGGCCUGAGAGGGCACACGGCCACACUGGCACUGAAAUACGGGCCAGACUCCUACGGGAGGCAGCAGUGGGGAAUCUUGCACAAUGGAGGAAACUCUGAUGCAGCGACGCCGCGUGAGCGAUGAGGCCCUUCGGGGUGUAAAGCUCUUUCGACGGGAACGAUAAUGACGGUACCCGGAGAAGAAGCUGCGGCUAACUACGUGCCAGCAGCCGCGGUAAUACGUAGGCAGCAAGCGUUGUUCGGAAUUAUUGGGCGUAAAGAGUGCGUAGGCGGUGUUCCAAGUCUGUCGUGAAAUCUCCCGGCUUAACUGGGAGGGUGCGGCGGAAACUGGGAUGCUAGAGGGUGGGAGAGGUAAGCGGAAUUCCUGGUGUAGCGGUGAAAUGCGUAGAUAUCAGGAGGAACACCUGUGGUGUAGACAGCUUACUGGACCACUUCUGACGCUGAGGCACGAAAGCGUG